rnacentral:rRNA from 1 species
AGAAUCAACGCUGGCGGCGUGCCUAACACAUGCAAGUCGAACGCGAAAGCCCCGCAAGGGGUAAGUAGAGUGGCAAACGGGUGAGUAACACGUGGGUGGCCUGCCUUCGAGUGGGGGAUAACGUCCCGAAAGGGACGCUAAUACCGCAUGACAUCCUGCUUUUGGAAAAGCGGAGAUCAAAGCCGGGGAUCGCAAGACCUGGCGCUUGAAGAUGGGCCCGCGCCUGAUUAGCUAGUUGGUAGGGUAACGGCCUACCAAGGCAACGAUCGGUAUCC